GCAACCCUAGUCAAGCGGGCCACCGACCGAG
rnacentral:rRNA from 1 species